GGGCACUCUAGCGAGACUGGCCGGUAAUAACCGGAGGAAGUGGGGAUGACGUCAAAUCAUCAUGCCCCUUAUGACCUGGGCUACACACGUGCUACAAUGGUUGGUACAACGAGUUGCGGGUCGGUGACGGCGAGCUAAUCUCUUAAAGCCAAUCUCAGUUCGGAUUGUAGGCUGCAACUCGCCUACAUGAAGUCGGAAUCGCUAGUAAUCGCGGAUCAGCACGCCGCGGUCGAAUACGUUCCCGGGCCUU
rnacentral:rRNA from 1 species